rnacentral:rRNA from 1 species
AACGAACGCUGGCGGCAUGCCUAACACAUGCAAGUCGAACGAAGCCUUCGGGCUUAGUGGCGCACGGGUGCGUAAUGCGUGGGAAUCUGCCCUUGGGUUCGGAAUAACAGUUAGAAAUGACUGCUAAUACCGGAUGAUGUCUUCGGACCAAAGAUUUAUCGCCCAAGGAUGAGCCCGCGUAGGAUUAGGUAGUUGGUGGGGUAAUGGCCCACCAAGCCGACGAUCCUUAGCUGGUCUGAGAGGAUGAUCAGCCACACUGGGACUGAGACACGGCCAAGACUCCUACGGGAGGCAGCAGUGGGGAAUAUUGGACAAUGGGCGAAAGCCUGAUCCAGCAAUGCCGCGUGAGUGAUGAAGGCCUUAGGGUUGUAAAGCUCUUUUACCAGGGAUGAUAAUGACAGUACCUGGAGAAUAAGCUCCGGCUAACUCCGUGCCAGCAGCCGCAGUAA